rnacentral:rRNA from 1 species
CCUACGGGAGGCAGCAGUGAGGAAUAUUGGUCAAUGGACGAGAGCCUGAACCAGCCAAGUAGCGUGAAGGAUGACUGCCCUAUGGGUUGUAAACUUCUUUUAUAUGGGAAUAAAAUGUUCCACGUGUGGGAUUUUGUAUGUACCAUAUGAAUAAGGAUCGGCUAACUCCGUGCCAGCAGCCGCGGUAAUACGGAGGAUCCGAGCGUUAUCCGGAUUUAUUGGGUUUAAAGGGAGCGUAGGUGGAUUGUUAAGUCAGUUGUGAAAGUUUGCGGCUCAACCGUAAAAUUGCAGUUGAAACUGGCAGUCUUGAGUACAGUAGAGGUAGGCGGAAUUCGUGGUGUAGCGGUGAAAUGCGUAGAUAUCACGAAGAACUCCGAUUGCGAAGGCAGCUCACUGGACUGCAACUGACACUGAGGCUCGAAAGUGUGGGUAUCAAACAGGAUUAGAUACCCUAGUAGUC